rnacentral:rRNA from 1 species
AUAUCAAUAAGCGGAGGAAAAGAAACCAACAGGGAUUACCUCAGUAACGGCGAGUGAAGCGGUAACAGCUCAAAUUUGAAAGCUGGCUCUUUUAGGGUCCGCGUUGUAAUUUGUAGAAGAUGCUUCGGGUGUGGCCCCGGUCUAAGUUCCUUGGAACAGGACGUCAUAGAGGGUGAGAAUCCCGUAUGUGACUGGGUGCUUUCGCUCAUGUGAAGCUCUUUCGACGAGUCGAGUUGUUUGGGAAUGCAGCUCAAAAUGGGUGGUAAAUUUCAUCUAAAGCUAAAUAUUGGCCAGAGACCGAUAGCGCACAAGUAGAGUAAUCGAAAGAUGAAAAGCACUUUGGAAAGAGAGUUAAACAGUACGUGAAAUUGUUGAAAGGGAAGCGCUUGCAACCAGACUUGCGCGCUGAUGAUCAUCCGGGCUUCUGUCCGGUGCACUCGUCUGCGCUCAGGCCAGCAUCGGUUUCGGUGGUGGGAUAAAGGCCUUGGGAAUGUGGCUCCUCUCGGGGAGUGUUAUAGCCCUCGGUGCAAUGCCGCCUACCGGGACCGGGGACCGCGCUUCGGCUAGGAUGCUGGCGUAAUGGUUGUAAGCGACCCGUCUUGAAACACGGACCAAGGAGUCUAACAUCUAUGCGAGUGUUUGGGUGUCAACCCAUACGCGUAAUGAAAGUGAACGGAGGUGAGAACCCUUAAGGGUGCAUCAUCGACCGAUCCUGAUGUCUUCGGAUGGAUUUGAGUAAGAGCAUAGCUGUUGGGACCCGAAAGAUGGUGAACUAUGCGUGAAUAGGUGAAGCCAGAGGAAACUCUGUGAAGCUCGCAGCGAUCUGAACGUUGCCAAUCGAUCGUCAAUUGCGUAUAGGGCGAAGACUAUCGACCAUCUAGUAACUGGGUUUUCCUCGCGCGCGCAGGAU